rnacentral:rRNA from 1 species
GACGAACGCUGGCGGCGUGCUUAACACAUGCAAGUCGAACGGUGAAGCGCCUUCCUUUUUGGUCGGUGUGGAUGAGUGGCGAACUGGUGAGUAACACGUGAGUAACCUGCUCCCUUCUUCUGGAUAACCGCAUGAAAGUGUGGCUAAUACGGGAUAUUCUGGGUCUGUUGCAUGAUGGGUCUGGGAAGGAUUUUGUUUCGGUGGGGGAUGGGCUCGCGGCCUAUCAGCUUGUUGGUGGGGUGAUGGCCUACCAAGGCGGUGAGGGGUAGCCGGCCUGAGAGGGUGGACGGUCACACUGGGACUGAGACACGGCCAAGACUACGACGGGAGGCAGCAGGGGAGAAUAUGGCACAAUGGGCGGAAGGCUGAUGCAGCGACGCGGCGGGAGGGAUGGAGUCCGUCUGGUUGUGAACUUCUUUCGCGAGUGAAGCAGGGCUGCCUCGUUUGUGGGUGGGUUGACGGUAGCUGGAUAAGAAGCGCCGGCUAACUACAUG